AUUGAACGCUGGCGGCAUGCCUUACACAUGCAAGUCGAACGGCAGCGGGGGAGAAGCUUGCUUUUCCUGCCGGCGAGUGGCGAACGGGUGAGUAAUACAUCGGAACGUGCCCUGUAGUGGGGGAUAACUAGUCGAAAGAUUAGCUAAUACCGCAUACGACCUGAGGGUGAAAGUGGGGGACCGCAAGGCCUCAUGCUAUAGGAGCGGCCGAUGUCGGAUUAGCUAGUUGGUGGGGUAAAGGCCUACCAAGGCGACGAUCAGUAGCUGGUCUGAGGGGACGAUCAGCCACACUGGGACUGAGACACGGCCCAGACUCCUACGGGAGGAAGCAGUGGGGAAUUUUGGACAAUGGGCGAAAGCCUGAUUCAGCAAUGCCGCGUGUGUGAAGAAGGCCUUCGGGUUGUAAAGCACUUUUGUCCGGAAAGAAAUGGCUCUGGUUAAUACCUGGGGUCGAUGACGGUACCGGAAGAAUAAGGACCGGCUAACUACGUGCCAGCCGCCGCCGUAA
rnacentral:rRNA from 1 species